UAGGAGACGGUGUAGCUUAGAGGUAGAGAGCCUGCCUAGCAAGCACUUGACCCCGGGUUCUAAUCCCGGGUAGGUCCUAUGAUCCUGAGUUCUAAUCCCGGGUAGGUCCUAGGGUGCAAUGCCAUAUGGUGUAAUGCCAUAUGCGGUAGGAAUAUCAAACCCAUGGCUUCUCCAUAUAUUUUUUU